AGUAAGAUGGUUGAGAAUUAGACAAUAGACUGUAAAUCUAUUUACGAGGAAUAUACCCUCUCUUGCUA
rnacentral:tRNA from 1 species